GCUGGGUCAGCUACCUCACGUGGAGCUGGCUCUGCUGUCCUGGCGAGCGUCUUACCUCCCUGGGAGUCUUGGGCCGCUCUGAGCCGUGCUCCGCGGGCGCCGUCCCUGCUGUUCUCUCAGGGAGCCCGAGGCUCAGGGCCGGGGCAGGCCCCAGCUCCACUCAGCGCUCAAUACCCCACGUGUCGGAAGCACAGUAUUGUUGCCAUGGAGCACAACGGUGGGCCCGGGCCGCAGUUAGACCGCGGGGGCCCAGCUGGUCCUGAUCCUGGGAUCGAUCCCGUUACUUCCUGUCCCUCCAUGCUAGUCCAAAGACUCGAGAUGAAGCCGUGUGUGUGUGCCGGGGGCCCUGUCCAGACCCCGGAUCUUCACACACCUGGGCACAGCCAGGGUCCCCACCCUAUUGAGCCUGCAGAGCUUGGACCCCAGAGUGCCCACGUCUGGGGCCGAGACCCAGUCCACACCUUUGAAGCUGACUGUAAGCUCCCGGGCAGAAGGUGGCUCCCAUCCCCGUGGCAGUUGGGACCAGGCCCCGGUCUCGGUGUGAACCAGUUACCACCAUGUAAAGAUUCCUGGGCAAGCCUGCUGAGUGGUGAGAGAUAUUCCCAUCACCCUCUUUGCUCAAGCUGAAAAACAUCAACAGGCUAUCAGUCGUGAAGUCAUCAAGCAAACCAGGAAGUUGCCUACAGCACAUGAGUGAGCCUGGCCAAGAUCCACAGAAGAACCACCCCCAGAAAGCCAAGUCCAUAUUGCCAACACAGGGAAUUGUAAGAUAAAUGAAUGGUUGUGAUUAUAAGGCACUAAGUUUGGGAGUGGUCUGUUCUGUUAUACAGCAAAAAAAAAUUAAAAACUGAAAUACCA